AUGCGAUAAGUAGUGUGAAUUGCAGAAUUCAGUGAAUCAUCGAAUCUUUGAACGCACAUUGCGCCCCUUGGUAUUCCAUGGGGCAUGCCUGUUCGAGCGUCAUUUACACCCUCAAGCUUUGCUUGGUGUUGGGCGUCUUGUCUACGGACUCGCCCCAAAGGUAUUUGGCAGCGGUCCUGCCGGGCCUUCCUAAUUGCGCAGCACUGUUCGCGCUACUUGGAGCCUGUUUGCAGGAUUCAGCAUCCAUCAAGCCCCUCUUCUUUAACUUGACCUCGAAUCAGGUAGGGAUACCCGCUGAACUUAA
rnacentral:misc_RNA from 1 species